GUGUUUGCUUAGGCAACAUAUGUACUAAAAUUUGAAUGAUAAAGAGGAACUUAGUAUGGCCCCUGUGCAAGGACGACAUGCAGAUUCAUGAGUAAUCCAUGUUC